UUAUGACCAUAUCACGUUGAAUCACCAGUCCUCGUACAAAUCGCUGUAGUUAAACAACGUCGAGCCUGGUCAGUACCUAGAUGGGUGACCACUCGAGAAUACAAGGUGCUGUAA